AGCGCAUGCGCAGCGGAAACUGGACAGCCUCUGGAAAUCUUUGAAUGUUUAGGGUCAAGUGUAAGGUAUUUCUAACUUCAGUAAGAGUUUGGCCUUGCCAAGAAAGGCAUUCACAGGUAUCAGCCUCUUAUAGACUAUGGUCCUUACUACGGAUCUACUUAUAUUCCAGGAAUUUGCUGUAAGAUUUUUAACAGCAGUUUUAAAAGUCAGGUUUACGUUCUUAUUUGAAGAAAUAUCAGUGUUGUGUUUGAAACAUAACAUAUCACCAUAUUUUACUUUCCGUUUUGAGACUCAGAUCAGAUGUUUGCAGCUUUCCACAUGCAGGGUAACUAGCUGUAUAAUAAUUCCUCUUUGUGACUUUUUGUAGGAAUAGUUAACAAAGCAGACCCAUUUCAGUAAUGAUACUUAGCCAUUGGAGUGGCUGUUAUAAAAAAUGUGGAAAAUAUCGGUGAAGAUGAGAAGAAAAUGAAGCUCUUGUGCAUUGCUGAAGGGAACAUCAAAUAUGACAGCAGUGGAAAGAGUUCCGUGGUUCUACAGAAAGUAAAACAUGGAAAUAUCAUAUGAUCGAGCAAUUCUGCCUCUGAAUAUAUCCCCAAAGAAAUGAAAAAGGGACUCAAACAGAUCAUAGCAGUGUUAUUCACAAUAGCCAAAAGAUAGAAAGAAACCAGAUGUCCAUCUACAGAUGAAUGAAACAGAUAUAACAUGAAAUAUACAUAUAUAUAUAUAUAUAUAUGUAUGAAUUUACAAGAUUGGCUUACAAUGGCCACUCACAGAGUCAGAUGUAGAAGAGUGCAGAGGAUUUGUCUGCACACUGGAGACCGAAGGAUUCAGUUGGAGGUCUGGAGCUCACUGCAGAGUCGGUAUCAAGAGGCUGAUGGGUCUGUGAUGGAAGGCUGAAGAGUUUACAUGGGAAGGCUGCAAAGUCUGAGCUGGAAGCUGAAGAGUCUGCACUGGAAGCCAGGAGAUGACGUCCAAAAUGAGGGCGAAGCCUGGAGCUCCUCCAAGGAAACAAGCAGAUUGAUCCUUCUCCAUCUCCCCUUUACACCGUCCGGCGACAGCCACCCUAGGAUGGAUCUUCCACACCCUAGGGUGUGUAAUUGAGCCCAUUUAGCUGAGCUUCUCUUACUCAACUUGAUGCAAUCAAUCAACUGUCACGUGUAUAUUUUGCUGCAAUUCUGAAACAAUAAAAAGAAUCAUCACACUUGGAACUUGAGAUGAUCAGGGUGCCACGGUAGCCCUUGGGAUGAACUUUAUCCCCAGCUCACCAAGCGUUUGUUUCCUGCCUCCUAAGGUUAAUACAGACGACUACUUUCCUUGAGGGAAAUACUUUUUAGCUUCAGAUUAAGAAAGAUACCUUGAACGAAUGAAAACACACUUUAUCUGCUGUAACUCUGUGCAAUAAGGUAACGAGAGUCCGUGACUGUACAUGCUGUACUUUGUGAAGCAGAAACAUCUUUUUGUCACCUCUGCCUUCCAAAUGUGUGCUCUCUCAUUCCACCAGAGAUUUACCUCUCUGCAAGAAAUGUCCCCUCCAACUUGCUACCUCAGGAAGUCCCUCCCAUCCUGUAAGUAAAGCUUUGCAGGAGUAGGACGUCCUCCUUUGCUCUCACAUUUGUAACAGAGAUCUCACAAGUGGUUUAUGUGAUGACUGCACAACGCGAUGGAGAAGAGAUCAUGGGCACACAGAGCACCCGGACUCAAGGGAGAGCAGCCCGCUCUGUGACCUGGACAGGGAC
rnacentral:lncRNA from 1 species